CUAGCAGUAUCAGAGUUUGAUCCUGGCUCAGGAUGAACGCUGGCGGCGUGCCUAACACAUGCAAGUCGAGCGGUAUAUAGUGGAAUGAAACUUCGGUCGAGUGAAGCUAUAGAGAGCGGCGGACGGGUGAGUAACGCGUAGGCAACCUGCCCCAUACAGAGGGAUAGCCUCGGGAAACCGGGAUUAAAACCUCAUAACGCAGAGAGUUCACAUGGACUAUCUGCCAAAGAUUCAUCGGUAUGGGAUGGGCCUGCGUCUGAUUAGCUAGUUGGUGAGGUAACGGCUCACCAAGGCGACGAUCAGUAGCCGACCUGAGAGGGUAAUCGGCCACAUUGGAACUGAGACACGGUCCAA
rnacentral:rRNA from 1 species